GACGAACCGAGCGAACGUUGUUCGGAAUCACUAGGCUUAAAGGGCGCGUAGGCGGGCUGCCGCGUCCGGGGUGAAAUCCCACGGCUCAACCGUGGAACUGCCCCGGAUACGGGCGGCCUCGAGGGGGGUAGGGGCAUCUGGAACUGUGAGUGGAGCGGUGAAAUGCGUUGAUAUUCACAGGAACUCCGGUGGCGAAGGCGAGGUGCUGGACCCCUCCUGACGCUGAGGCGCGAAAGCCAGGGGAGCAAACGGG
rnacentral:rRNA from 1 species